UUAUUGGUUAGGUGCUUAAGAUUAACUGAAAGACUGUUUCUUCUUUCUUUAAUGAUCAACCUCUCUCCUGCCCUUUUAUUUUAUUUUAUUUGUUUUCUCAUUUUAUUUAUUCUUAAUUUUUAUGGGAAAAUGGGAAGGCAGUUUUUAGGGUUUGUAGUAUUAGACUCGAUCGAAUCUGAGCAGCACUCGAAAAAAGAAGAAAAUUUAUCAUCACAGAUUUUGUGAAAU
rnacentral:misc_RNA from 1 species